UACGUAGGGUCCGAGCGUUAAUCGGAAUUACUGGGCGUAAAGCGUGCGCAGGCGGUUUUGUAAGCCAGAUGUGAAGUCCCCGGGCUUAACCUGGGAACUGCAUUUGGGACUGCAAGGCUCGAGUACGGCAGAGGGAGGUGGAAUUCCACGUGUAGCAGUGAAAUGCGUAGAGAUGUGGAGGAACACCGAUGGCGAAGGCAGCCUCCUGGGCCAGUACUGACGCUCAUGCACGAAAGCGUGGGGAGCAAACAGG
rnacentral:rRNA from 1 species